AAGUCUGACGGAGCAACGCCGCGUGAACGAUGAAGGUCUUCGGAUCGUAAAGUUCUGUUGUUAGGGAAGAACAAGUACCGUGCGAAUAGAGCGGUACCUUGACGGUACCUAACGAGGAAGCCCCGGCUAACUACGUGCCAGCAGCCGCGGUAAUACGUAGGGGGCAAGCGUUGUCCGGAAUUAUUGGGCGUAAAGCGCGCGCAGGCGGUUCCUUAAGUCUGAUGUGAAAGCCCACGGCUCAACCGUGGAGGGUCAUUGGAAACUGGGGAACUUGAGGACAGAAGAGGAGAGUGGAAUUCCACGUGUAGCGGUGAAAUGCGUAGAUAUGUGGAGGAACACCAGUGGCGAAGGCGACUCUCUGGUCUGUUUCUGACGCUGAGGUGCGAAAGCGUGGGUAGCAAACAGGAUUAGAUACCCUGGUAGUCCACGCCGUAAACGAUGAGUGCUAGGUGUUAGGGGGCUUCCACCCCUUAGUGCUGAAGUUAACGCAUUAAGCACUCCGCCUGGG
rnacentral:rRNA from 1 species